AACGUAGGAGGCAAGCGUUAUCCGGAUUUACUGGGCGUAAAGCGUGCGCAGGCGGUCUAUUAAGACAGGUGUGAAAUCCCCGGGCUUAACCUGGGAACUGCGCUUGUAACUGAUAGGCUUGAGUGUGGCAGAGGGGGGUGGAAUUCCAGGUGUAGCAGUGAAAUGCGUAGAUAUCUGGAGGAACACCGAUGGCGAAGGCAGCCCCCUGGGCUAACACUGACGCUCAUGCACGAAAGCGUGGGGAGCAAACAGG
rnacentral:rRNA from 1 species